rnacentral:rRNA from 1 species
GGUUAAGCGACUAAGCGUACACGGUGGAUGCCCUGGCAGUCAGAGGCGAUGAAGGACGUGCUAAUCUGCGAUAAGCGCCGGUAAGGUGAUAUGAACCGUUAUAACCGGCGAUUUCCGAAUGGGGAAACCCAGUGUGACUCGUCACACUAUCAUUAACUGAAUCCAUAGGUUAAUGAGGCGAACCGGGGGAACUGAAACAUCUAAGUACCCCGAGGAAAAGAAAUCAACCGAGAUUCCCCCAGUAGCGGCGAGCGAACGGGGAGGAGCCCAGAGCCUGAAUCAGCAUGUGUGUUAGUGGAAGCGUCUGGAAAGGCGCGCGAUACAGGGUGACAGCCCCGUACACAAAAGCGCAUGUGCUGUGAGCUCGAUGAGUAGGGCGGGACACGUGGUAUCCUGUCUGAAUAUGGGGGGACCAUCCUCCAAGGCUAAAUACUCCUGACUGACCGAUAGUGAACCAGUACCGUGAGGGAAAGGCGAAAAGAACCCCGGCGAGGGGAGUGAAAAAGAACCUGAAACCGUGUACGUACAAGCAGUGGGAGCACCCUUUGGGGUGUGACUGCGUACCUUUUGUAUAAUGGGUCAGCGACUUAUAUUCUGUAGCAAGGUUAACCGAAUAGGGGAGCCGCAGGGAAACCGAGUCUUAAUUGGGCGUUAAGUUGCAGGGUAUAGACCCGAAACCCGGUGAUCUAGCCAUGGGCAGGUUGAAGGUUGGGUAACACUAACUGGAGGACCGAACCGACUAAUGUUGAAAAAUUAGCGGAUGACCUGUGGCUGGGGGUGAAAGGCCAAUCAAACCGGGAGAUAGCUGGUUCUCCCCGAAAGCUAUUUAGGUAGCGCCUCGUGAAUUCAUCUCCGGGGGUAGAGCACUGUUUCGGCUAGGGGGCCAUCCCGGCUUACCAACCCGAUGCAAACUGCGAAUACCGGAGAAUGUUAUCACGGGAGACACACGGCGGGUGCUAACGUCCGUCGUGAAGAGGGAAACAACCCAGACCGCCAGCUAAGGUCCCAAAGUCAUGGUUAAGUGGGAAACGAUGUGGGAAGGCCCAGACAGCCAGGAUGUUGGCUUAGAAGCAGCCAUCAUUUAAAGAAAGCGUAAUAGCUCACUGGUCGAGUCGGCCUGCGCGGAAGAUGUAACGGGGCUAAACCAUGCACCGAAGCUGCGGCAGCGACACUGUGUGUUGUUGGGUAGGGGAGCGUUCUGUAAGCCUGUGAAGGUGGCCUGUGAGGGUUGCUGGAGGUAUCAGAAGUGCGAAUGCUGACAUAAGUAACGAUAAAGCGGGUGAAAAGCCCGCUCGCCGGAAGACCAAGGGUUCCUGUCCAACGUUAAUCGGGGCAGGGUGAGUCGACCCCUAAGGCGAGGCCGAAAGGCGUAGUCGAUGGGAAACGGGUUAAUAUUCCCGUACUUGGUGUUACUGCGAAGGGGGGACGGAGAAGGCUAUGUUGGCCGGGCGACGGUUGUCCCGGUUUAAGCGUGUAGGUGUGUGUUCCAGGUAAAUCCGGUUCACUUUAACACUGAGGCGUGAUGACGAGGCACUACGGUGCUGAAGCAACAAAUGCCCUGCUUCCAGGAAAAGCCUCUAAGCAUCAGGUAACAUCAAAUCGUACCCCAAACCGACACAGGUGGUCAGGUAGAGAAUACCAAGGCGCUUGAGAGAACUCGGGUGAAGGAACUAGGCAAAAUGGUGCCGUAACUUCGGGAGAAGGCACGCUGACACGUAGGUGAAGUGAUUUACUCACGGAGCUGAAGUCAGUCGAAGAUACCAGCUGGCUGCAACUGUUUAUUAAAAACACAGCACUGUGCAAACACGAAAGUGGACGUAUACGGUGUGACGCCUGCCCGGUGCCGGAAGGUUAAUUGAUGGGGUCAGCGCAAGCGAAGCUCCUGAUCGAAGCCCCGGUAAACGGCGGCCGUAACUAUAACGGUCCUAAGGUAGCGAAAUUCCUUGUCGGGUAAGUUCCGACCUGCACGAAUGGCGUAAUGAUGGCCAGGCUGUCUCCACCCGAGACUCAGUGAAAUUGAACUCGCUGUGAAGAUGCAGUGUACCCGCGGCAAGACGGAAAGACCCCGUGAACCUUUACUAUAGCUUGACACUGAACAUUGAGCCUUGAUGUGUAGGAUAGGUGGGAGGCUUUGAAGUGUGGACGCCAGUCUGCAUGGAGCCGACCUUGAAAUACCACCCUUUAAUGUUUGAUGUUCUAACGUGGACCCGUAAUCCGGGUUGCGGACAGUGUCUGGUGGGUAGUUUGACUGGGGCGGUCUCCUCCUAAAGAGUAACGGAGGAGCACGAAGGUUGGCUAAUCCUGGUCGGACAUCAGGAGGUUAGUGCAAUGGCAUAAGCCAGCUUGACUGCGAGCGUGACGGCGCGAGCAGGUGCGAAAGCAGGUCAUAGUGAUCCGGUGGUUCUGAAUGGAAGGGCCAUCGCUCAACGGAUAAAAGGUACUCCGGGGAUAACAGGCUGAUACCGCCCAAGAGUUCAUAUCGACGGCGGUGUUUGGCACCUCGAUGUCGGCUCAUCACAUCCUGGGGCUGAAGUAGGUCCCAAGGGUAUGGCUGUUCGCCAUUUAAAGUGGUACGCGAGCUGGGUUUAGAACGUCGUGAGACAGUUCGGUCCCUAUCUGCCGUGGGCGCUGGAGAACUGAGGGGGGCUGCUCCUAGUACGAGAGGACCGGAGUGGACGCAUCACUGGUGUUCGGGUUGUCAUGCCAAUGGCACUGCCCGGUAGCUAAAUGCGGAAGAGAUAAGUGCUGAAAGCAUCUAAGCACGAAACUUGCCCCGAGAUGAGUUCUCCCUGAGACUUAGAGUCUCCUGAAGGAACGUUGAAGACGACGACGUUGAUAGGCCGGGUGUGUAAGCGCAGCGAUGCGUUGAGCUAACCGGUACUAAUGAACCGUGAGGCUUAACCUU